AUGGAGUCGCGGCCGCUCCUGCCGCCGCUCGCCGCGCGGCACCACGGGAAGGCGCGACGCGCCCCGUGCCGUCCGCCCCAUUGGCCGACGGGCGACAGGCGCCGCCCACGGACGCAUCCGGGUGGAGAGAGAAGAACUGAAGUGUUUGACUCAGAGCAGCUCUGUUCUCAGGAGACAACUGGAGCCAAGGAAAAGAAGCAGCAAGAGGACUCCUCUGAUGACAGUUUGAUGGUCACUGUAACUUGCUACAAGUUAGAAGAGAGCUGGCUUGUGGACUUGAGGUGGGAGAAGAUCAAGAAGAAGAGUCCUGAUGUUAUGGAGAUGGGCAGUGCUGCACCAGUGGCAGGGUUUCUCCAGUAUGGCAUUUGUUGGGGUUUGUGGAUCUGCACUUCUGACAAGACUCAGUAAGGCUCAGAGACUGUUUUAAGCAGUCUCUUGCAGUAGCUAUUGCAGAGGGGUACUCCACUGCUGCUGCUGAUACUGAGGUAACCUCUGGGUCAGGAAAUGGGGUCCUCCUGUCCCAUCCUGCCACUAGCUCAUGGCUGUUUUGCUGCAGUGUGUUUAGGUAACAGAUUGUCAGUGUGUCCCAGCAGUGCUCCUGGUAAGCAUGAAGAGAAAUCUGCCCACACAUAGCCCACAGCUGCAAGGCUGUAACACAAAUCUGAGUCAGGUUAAGAGCACGAGAAAAUGAUGUGGAAAAUAAAUACAUCACUCAGGUAAGAAAUGACUUAAUA
rnacentral:lncRNA from 1 species